AUUGAACGCUGGCGGCAGGCCUAACACAUGCAAGUCGAGCGGUAGAGAGGUGCUUGCAUCUCUUGAGAGCGGCGGACGGGUGAGUAAUGCCUAGGAAUCUGCCUAGUGGUGGGGGAUAACGUUCGGAAACGGACGCUAAUACCGCAUACGUCCUACGGGAGAAAGCGGGGGAUCUUCGGACCUCGCGCCAUUAGAUGAGCCUAGGUCGGAUUAGCUAGUAGGUGAGGUAAUGGCUCACCUAGGCGACGAUCCGUAACUGGUCUGAGAGGAUGAUCAGUCACACUGGAACUGAGACACGGUCCAGACUCCUACGGGAGGCAGCAGUGGGGAAUAUUGGACAAUGGGCGAAAGCCUGAUCCAGCCAUGCCGCGUGUGUGAAGAAGGUCUUCGGAUUGUAAAGCACUUUAAGUUUGGGAGGAAGGGCAGUAAGUUAAUAACCUUGCUGUUUUUGACGUUUACCAACAGAAUAAGCACCGGCUAACUUCGUGCCAG
rnacentral:rRNA from 1 species